UUCGCCCUCUUCGAUCGCUGAAGCUACGCUGUUUUCAUGGCUUUUCAAGAGAAGAAACUGAUCAAUAACCCAAAUGAUGUGGUAACUGAGUACAUUGAAGGUCUAGCUGAAACAUAUCCUGGCUUGCAGUACUUGGAUGGUUUUCCUGAGGUCAAGGUUGUUUUACGUGCUGAUGUUUCGAGUGAUACAUAUGACAAGGUUGCAAUUAUAUCAGGUGGAGGUAGUGGACAUGAA
rnacentral:misc_RNA from 1 species